rfam:Capsicum annuum cultivar Zunla-1 chromosome 1, whole genome shotgun sequence
UAAUGAUGGUGAGGGAAAUUUUUGAGCAUACCCUUAAAUCUUUCCCAAGUUUGGUAGAGAUUCUCUCCUUCUUUUUGUUUGAAACUCAAGAUCUCACUCCUCAAGCG